rnacentral:rRNA from 1 species
AUGCGUGAUCAGAUUGGCAUCGACCUGGACGGCUUCCCCCUUGACCACGAGUUCCCGGAGGACUAUGUGCUAGAGGAAGAGGACGAGUGCGACAUCGAAGUGGAGCCUUUGUUUGAGGACGAGCUCGACCAAACCGCCGGUACUAAGCCGAAGCGCAAGAGCAAGCGCACGAAGGCGUACACAGCUGCGGAGGACAAGCUUCUUUGCGAGUGUUGGCGAGACAUCGGACAAGACCCAAAGAUGGGCGUCGAGCAAAAGCAUUCAUCCUUUUGGACUCAUGUGCACCGCGAGUUUCAUGAGCGCAAGAAGUUUCCACCUUACCAAUUUGUGAGCACGCGCGGGUGGGUCUCCAUUUCCAAGCGGUGGAGGGUGAUCCAACAAGAGUGCAACAAGUUUUGCGCCACCCUUGAGAGCGUCAAGGCUCGCCCCGUGAGCGGCAUCGGCGUGCAAGACAUGGUAUGA